rnacentral:rRNA from 1 species
UAGGGAAUCUUCGGCAAUGGACGAAAGUCUGACCGAGCAACGCCGCGUGAGUGAAGAAGGUUUUCGGAUCGUAAAACUCUGUUGUUAGAGAAGAACAAGGACGUUAGUAACUGAACGUCCCCUGACGGUAUCUAACCAGAAAGCCACGGCUAACUACGUGCCAGCAGCCGCGGUAAUACGUAGGUGGCAAGCGUUGUCCGGAUUUAUUGGGCGUAAAGCGAGCGCAGGCGGUUUCUUAAGUCUGAUGUGAAAGCCCCCGGCUCAACCGGGGAGGGUCAUUGGAAACUGGGAGACUUGAGUGCAGAAGAGGAGAGUGGAAUUCCAGGUGUAGCGGUGAAAUGCGUAGAUAUAUGGAGGAACACCAGUGGCGAAGGCGGCUCGCUGGUCUGUAACUGACGCUGAGGCUCGGAAGCGUGGGGAGCAAACAGG